UGUUAAAAAUUUAUUCAUUUGUACUAUUAAAAACCAGUGUGGCAUAACCAGACAGUGACACAUGGCGUGCCACGUAAACCUCAUGUUAACGUAUAAGGGUUAGUUUUUAACCGUAAAAAUAGAUAGAAUUUAUAAUA
rfam:Gossypium arboreum cultivar AKA8401 contig_46851_3, whole genome shotgun sequence.